rnacentral:rRNA from 1 species
AAUUGAAGAGUUUGAUCAUGGCUCAGAUUGAACGCUGGCGGCAGGCCUAACACAUGCAAGUCGAACGGUAACAGAAAGCAGCUUGCUGCUUUGCUGACGAGUGGCGGACGGGUGAGUAAUGUCUGGGAAACUGCCUGAUGGAGGGGGAUAACUACUGGAAACGGUAGCUAAUACCGCAUAAUGUCGCAAGACCAAAGAGGGGGACCUUCGGGCCUCUUGCCAUCGGAUGUGCCCAGAUGGGAUUAGCUUGUUGGUGGGGUAACGGCUCACCAAGGCGACGAUCCCUAGCUGGUCUGAGAGGAUGACCAGCCACACUGGAACUGAGACACGGUCCAGACUCCUACGGGAGGCAGCAGUGGGGAAUAUUGCACAAUGGGCGCAAGCCUGAUGCAGCCAUGCCGCGUGUAUGAAGAAGGCCUUCGGGUUGUAAAGUACUUUCAGCGGGGAGGAAGGGAGUAAAGUUAAUACCUUUGCUCAUUGACGUUACCCGCAGAAGAAGCACCGGCUAACUCCGUGCCAGCAGCCGCGGUAAUACGGAGGGUGCAAGCGUUAAUCGGAAUUACUGGGCGUAAAGCGCACGCAGGCGGUUUGUUAAGUCAGAUGUGAAAUCCCCGGGCUCAACCUGGGAACUGCAUCUGAUACUGGCAAGCUUGAGUCUCGUAGAGGGGGGUAGAAUUCCAGGUGUAGCGGUGAAAUGCGUAGAGAUCUGGAGGAAUACCGGUGGCGAAGGCGGCCCCCUGGACGAAGACUGACGCUCAGGUGCGAAAGCGUGGGGAGCAAACAGGAUUAGAUACCCUGGUAGUCCACGCCGUAAACGAUGUCGACUUGGAGGUUGUGCCCUUGAGGCGUGGCUUCCGGAGCUAACGCGUUAAGUCGACCGCCUGGGGAGUACGGCCGCAAGGUUAAAACUCAAAUGAAUUGACGGGGGCCCGCACAAGCGGUGGAGCAUGUGGUUUAAUUCGAUGCAACGCGAAGAACCUUACCUGGUCUUGACAUCCACGGAAGUUUUCAGAGAUGAGAAUGUGCCUUCGGGAACCGUGAGACAGGUGCUGCAUGGCUGUCGUCAGCUCGUGUUGUGAAAUGUUGGGUUAAGUCCCGCAACGAGCGCAACCCUUAUCCUUUGUUGCCAGCGGUCCGGCCGGGAACUCAAAGGAGACUGCCAGUGAUAAACUGGAGGAAGGUGGGGAUGACGUCAAGUCAUCAUGGCCCUUACGACCAGGGCUACACACGUGCUACAAUGGCGCAUACAAAGAGAAGCGACCUCGCGAGAGCAAGCGGACCUCAUAAAGUGCGUCGUAGUCCGGAUUGGAGUCUGCAACUCGACUCCAUGAAGUCGGAAUCGCUAGUAAUCGUGGAUCAGAAUGCCACGGUGAAUACGUUCCCGGGCCUUGUACACACCGCCCGUCACACCAUGGGAGUGGGUUGCAAAAGAAGUAGGUAGCUUAACCUUCGGGAGGGCGCUUACCACUUUGUGAUUCAUGACUGGGGUGAAGUCGUAACAAGGUAACCGUAGGGGAACCUGCGGUUGGAUCACCUCCUUA